GAUGAACGCUGGCGGCGUGCCUAAUACAUGCAAGUCGAGCGAACGGACGAGAAGCUUGCUCCUCUGAUGUUAGCGGCGGACGGGUGAGUAACACGUGGAUAACCUACCUAUAUUACUGGGAUAAUUUCGGGAAACCGGAGCUAAUACCGGAUAAUAUUUUGAACCGCAUGGUUCAAAAGUGAAAGACGGUCUUGCUGUCACUUAUAGAUGGAUCCGCGCUGCAUUAGCUAGUUGGUAAGGUAACGGCUUACCAAGGCAACGAUGCAUAGCCGACCUGAGAGGGUGAUCGGCCACACUGGAACUGAGACACGGUCCAGACUCCUACGGGAGGCAGCAGUAGGGAAUCUUCCGCAAUGGGCGAAAGCCUGACAGAGCAACGCCGCGUGAGUGAUGAAGGUCUUCGGAUCGUAAAACUCUGUUAUUAGGGAAGAACAUAUGUGUAAGUAACUGUGCACAUCUUGACGGUACCUAAUCAGAAAGCCACGGCUAACUUCGUG
rnacentral:rRNA from 1 species